UGUUAACCUAAUUGAUGUGUGCAAAUGUGAGGCCUGUAUCGUUUGAACUGAGGGAAGGCUGGUCAGUGAGGGCUUAGGGUAAGCCCAAACAAUCAGAAGACAGGAUGGCUUGACUAGCACCUUUCCUGGCCAAUCAUGGAAGACCCGAGGCUGCAGCAGGAGGAAAGAGGGGUUGAAACAAGCUCCCUUCUCAGCGAAAAUAGCUGUUUGUGGUUCUUCUGAUUAAGCUGUACUUGAUGCUGAUUUCCUAAAACAUCCCCACAAGCCCAGCAACACACUCUGAGUGAGAGCUGAAUGGAGAAGACAGAACAAGCAGUGCAGAUCCACACAAAAAAGAAAGAAAGAAAGAAAGAAAGAAAGAAAGAAAGAAAGAAAGAAAGAAAGAAGUGCAAGGAGUCAUGCCAGAA